AAGGGCAUCAGUUUUGAAUGUCAAGGAAUCCAAAGCUUUGAAAGAACAGUUGUAACUACAACUGGUUGUACUGGCUGGUCUUCCGUUUGGCCUUUUUAGUGAUUAAUUAUUGGCCAUAUUAGUGAAGAGGCACUUCCAAGAUAUUAAGAAUGAGGGUGGAGAUGUUGAAGAUGUGAUAUAUCCAACAAGAAUCCCAGGGAGUUGCAUCUGUAAUAUGCAAAGAAAAAAAAAGUUGCAGAGAAUGUCAUCAGACAUAAACAACAGCCAACAAGGAAGGCUGGACAUGCUGAACUCACAGUCUCUCAUUUUAGUCACAAGAUCUUCAGCUCUGUAAAUGCUAUCCUUGAUCUUUCUGUUUUUGGAAGUGAAGUUACUCUAGAAAUUCUGGUAAUGAACCUGAAAAAGAAAUUCCCAACUUUAAGCUUUAGUCCUUUGGAAGCUAGUGGAAGACUUUCCAUGGAAGGAUCAUUUCUAGCUGUCAAAGAGGCUCAAAUAAUCUUUGCAAGUAAAAGCAAGUUCUCUUUUAUAAAAAAAAAAAAAAGACAACUUUCACCAGUGAGGGGAGAAAGUAGAAUAAAUAGAGCCCCCAAAGGAAUCUAUAGAGAGGCAAUAACUCUUUGGAGUCAGUCGGGACCUUAGUACCUGAGACUACUAGAAGUGGAGAAAUACUUCUGCCCAACACAGAUGUUUUUCUUUACCUGAAACAGAAAUGUGGAUUUUUUGAAAACGCACUGAACAAAUUCCAUAUUCUGAGUCAGAAGAGAGUGGAUGGUGAAAUGACCACAAUUUGUCUAAAAAGUACUCAAGCCCGUUCUCAACCAAACAAUCCAAAACAUGUAACAGAGCUCAUUGAGGAAUGGUCACAUGCUCUUCAUUUAGAGCUUAGAAAAGAGACAUGUAUUUUGGGGGGGAAAAAAGGAAAACAGAGAGAAAAUCAUUAAAUGGGCAUAUGAACAAUUAAGUUUGAGAUAUCUUGGAGUCCUAAUUAACCUUUAUAGGACACACAUUGACAUUAUAGGAUCUUCUUCUGACGCUUACCUAUUUUUAAAAGGGGUCAUGAAAUUAAUAGGGCAAAAGGUUA
rnacentral:lncRNA from 1 species